CAUGUGAGAGGUGUCUCCCUCAAACCCUGUUACAACAGAGGUACAUUACCUGCUU
rnacentral:snoRNA from 1 species